rnacentral:lncRNA from 1 species
ACAUUCAUCACUCCCUCUCUCAACCUAAGAAAUUGAAACCCUAGAAGCUCAAACCCUCCUCACUCACGAUCAAACAAAAGUCCUACAUUCACAACCAAUUAACCCAAGUAAAAGAGUCGACCUUCAAAUCCCACCCAUAGGCCACAAGUUGACAUCCUGCUAGAGGUUCUCUUCGAUUCGCGAGCAUUUGAUCGAAAAUUACGAAAGAGCCGGUGUUGAUUUUUGGCUUCAAUUCCAGCGAAAGGGGAAGGGGCUGGAAGAGGGAGGUAACCAGAUAGAUAUAACUAAUGAUGAGUAAUAUGUUGUUGGUGGUGGCUGGUGAAUCGCGCUGGAAGAUAGUGAACGAUGGUGGAGGUUUCGCUGCUGUUUGGUAGUCGUGUUUGGUGAUUCUUG